UUUUGUUUCCUUUCUCUCGAUAUAUCUCAGACAAACACCCAAAUUUGGCAUUCUUAUGUAUGAAAAGUUCCAGAUAGGGGUUUAUUAAUGACCUGCAGACCGUGUUUAAUUUCAAAGAUGAAUUUACUUUGACUUGUCAAACAUCAGCAAGUGUGACAGGUAAUAAGUUAGAACACCAGAAAAUAUGACAGCGCAUUAAUUACGUAACAAGAAAAAAUAGAAAAAAAACACAUAAGUAUUCAAAAGUGCCAGGAUUGCUUCUGAUAUGUAUGUCUUGCUCAAACACACUUAAAUUUCAACUGUAGAAGCUGGGUUCACAUCUCAGGCAACAGGAUUUUUCUUUCCCUCUGAGGUUACUGAUAAAUCAAAGAUGGAAAGCUACUUGCACCCUUUUAAGAAUGUUUUAUUCACCUGUAGUGUAAUCCUUUGACUAGUGACAAUUCCAAUAUCCAUGUUCUGGAUUUUUUUUUCCAAUUAUUAUACAAUCCUCCACCCUUUCUUAUUUUUAACUUGAUCAGACUUCUAUCUAGUGGUGGAGAGAGAGAACUGCAUUUCCAGGGUGUAUUAGAUGCAGACCUGCUAGAUCUGAGAUUUGUUGCUUAGCAUUUUAUUGUAUUACAAGUGAUUAAAUUUCUCAGAGACUCUUUAAGUUGUACCUUCAAAACCAGGAGGAGGAGAUGAUAAGUAGCCUAUUCUGUCGAAUAGAUCGAAAGUAGUAAAAUGCUGUGAAGGAAGUAAUUAAGAAAUUCUGAGGAAUAUUCCUCUGGUAGUGAAAAAAAAACUGUUAUUACAUUUAGCUUCUGUAGUUUUUAUCUGAAUGAUUUUGAACUAGACAGACUACUAAAAUUUGGAAAGAAAAUGGUAUUUUUCUAAUGUAGACUUGUCUUCAUUAAACCUUUUUUUGAUCAGCACGUGUUAAUGAAGCAAGUGCAGUAGUUGGGAACUAUUCUGCUUUGGCAGCUGCCCUUCAGCCAGAAGUUGAUUUAGGUAGCUUUUUGAAAUGAGAGGGAAAGCAUACAAGGGUGAAUGGGAUAGCUACACCAGUGCUCUUAAACUAGACGUGCAUUGAUGUUAAUUAUGUAAAAGAAACAUGCUGUGAAUUUCAGUGGCAAGUAGAAACUGUUAAACUGAAGAUAAAUAAGUUUUCUGUGAUGUUUUAUUUAUUCUUUUGUGUGUGUAUGUUUAUGGUUUGGAGGAGAAGCUAAUUUUAGUACCAAAUGAAUCUGUUCCUAAUCCUAAUUUAUUUAAUAUGAGAAAUAAUCUUGUGAAAUCCUUUAAGUGAAUCCUUUAAGCCUGACUGAACUUGUUAUAAUUCUAAAGCAUUAAUGCAUCAAAACAUGUGGCUUUACUUUAGCAAGCAAGCACUAUUGACCAUUUUGACCCAUACCUGGUGUUUUGAUGCACCUGUGUGGUGGGUGUUUAUUUUUUAAAUCAU